rnacentral:rRNA from 1 species
UACGUAGGGUGCGAGCGUUGUCCGGAAUUAUUGGGCGUAAAGAGCUCGUAGGCGGUGUGUCACGUCGUUCGUGAAAACCUGCAGCUUAACUGUGGGCGUGCGGUCGAUACGGGCAUCACUGGAGUUCGGCAGGGGAGACUGGAAUUCCUGGUGUAGCGGUGAAAUGCGCAGAUAUCAGGAGGAACACCGGUGGCGAAGGCGGGUCUCUGGGCCGAUACUGACGCUGGAGACGCGAAAGCGUGGGGAGCGAACAGG